AACGAACGCUGGCGGCAUGCCUAACACAUGCAAGUCGAACGAAGGCUUCGGCCUUAGUGGCGCACGGGUGCGUAACGCGUGGGAAUCUGCCCUUGGGUUCGGAAUAACUCAGAGAAAUUUGAGCUAAUACCGGAUGAUGACGUAAGUCCAAAGAUUUAUCGCCCAAGGAUGAGCCCGCGUAAGAUUAGCUAGUUGGUGGGGUAAAGGCCUACCAAGGCGACGAUCUUUAGCUGGUCUGAGAGGAUGAUCAGCCACACUGGGACUGAGACACGGCCCAGACUCCUACGGGAGGCAGCAGUGGGGAAUAUUGGACAAUGGGCGAAAGCCUGAUCCAGCAAUGCCGCGUGAGUGAUGAAGGCCUUAGGGUUGUAAACCUCUGUCCUUGGUGACGAAGAAAGUGACGGUAGCCAAGGAGGAAGCCCCGGCUAACUACGUG
rnacentral:rRNA from 1 species